GAUAUGGUAACCACCUGGGUUUUCAGGUGGGGUUGGACAGACAGACAAGGCAGACAGCCAUAGACUCCCAGACCCACAGAGCUGGAAGGGGUUCUCGGAGGUCCUCUAGUCCACCCCCCACUCGGUGCAGGCAAGCGCUAGUGCCUUUUCUCUCUAUCUCUAACGCAGCGCGUUUGGGAGAGCAAAGACCGUCCUCCGAGGAGCCAAGGACGUCACCAGGGGAGGAGGGAGGGUUUGGCUAGAGAAAAGUCCUGCCCUGCCUGGCUACUCAUCACCGUGCACCGUGGUCGGAGUCCCUUCUUGGCCGAGGCCCCUGGAGAAGCUGCUGCCUGCCUGGGUUGGGCAAGGGCAACUGCUUGCCGGCUCCCUUCUUUCUACUCCCCGAGCCGCGCCUGCGCAGACGGGCUUGUUCGGGGGAGGAGGCGGAGAGGAGGAAGCCGGCCCCGCUCUCGGCUCUCCCGCAGCCAGCCCGGCUGUUCCCCGCCCCUGCCCGGCCGCUCCUCGGACUUGGGUGAAGCCCCGCAGAAGAAGCAAAGCAGUGGGACGGCAGGUGACGGAAGAGGGAAGGCCCCACCCAGGAUCGUUCAGAGGGAUCAGACAGAAGGAGGAGGGAACAACAGAGGAGGAAAACCAGAAGCCAAACAGAAGAACAAGAAGGGGCCUUCUCCCUCUGAGCCGUGUGACAUCUCUAAAACCAGAAUCUGAAAAACAACGGGGAAAGAAAGAGAAAGAAGACGCUGCCCUGUGAGUAGGAAGAACUUGAGUUGUAUUUUGCUGCAGGAUUCACAGUGGGAAAUGAGCGCGAGGGAGAAGCCGCAUAAAUGCUUGGAGUGUGGAAAGAGCUUCAGCAAGAGUGCAGUUCUAACUAUACAUCAAAGAACCCACACUGGAGAGAGACCAUAUGAGUGCUUGGAGUGUGGAAGGAGUUUCAAGGUGAGUUCCCACCUCACUUCACAUCAAAGGACCCACACUGGAGAGAAGCCACAUCACUGCUUGGAGUGUGGAAAGAGCUUCAGUGCGAGAGGAUCACUUACUAUGCAUCGAAGAACCCACACUGGAGAGAGACCAUAUGAGUGCUUGGAGUGUGGAAAGAGCUUCAAGGUCAGUUCCCACCUCACCUCACAUCAAAGAAUCCACACUGGAGAGAAACCUUACGAGUGCUUCGAGUGUGGAAAGAGCUUCAGUGCGAGAGGAUCGUUUACUAUGCAUCAAAGGACCCACACUGGAGAGAAACCGUAUGAAUGCUUCGAGUGUGGAAAGAGCUUCAGUGCGAGAGGAUCACUUACUAUGCAUCAAAGAAUCCACAAUGGAGCCAAACCAUAUAAAUGUCUGGAGUGUGGAAAGAGCUUCAGUCAGAGAGGAUCACUUACUAUGCAUCAAAGAACCCACACUGGAGAUAAACCAUAUGAGUGCUUCGAGUGUGGAAAGACCUUCUCUGCAAGUGGACAACUUACCGUACAUCAAACAGUGCACACUGGAGAUAAACCAUAUGAGUGCUUUGAGUGUGGAAAGAGCUUCUCUGCAAGUGGACAACUUACUGUGCAUCAAAGAACCCACAGUGGAACCAAACCAUAUAAAUGUUUGGAGUGUGGAAAGAGCUUCAAGGUCAGUUCCCAACUAACUUCACAUCAAAGAACCCACACUGGAGAGAAGCCAUAUCAGUGCUUGGAGUGCGGAAAGAGCUUCAUUCAGAGUGGAUCGCUUACUGUGCAUCAAAGAACCCACACUGGAAAUAAACCAUUUCAGUGCUUGGAGUGUGGAAAGGGCUUCACUGACAGUGGACACCUUACCGUACAUCAAAGAAUCCACACUGGAGAGAAACCUUAUCAGUGCUUGGAGUGUGGGAAGAGCUUCAGUGCAAGUGGAUCACUUUCUAUGCAUCAAAGAACCCACAAUGGAGCCAAACCCUAUAAAUGUUUGGAGUGUGGAAAGAGCUUCAGUACCAGCGGAUCACUUUCUAUGCAUCAAAGAACCCACAAUGGAGCCAAACCCUAUAAAUGUUUGGAGUGUGGAAAGAGCUUCAGUGCGAGCGGAUCACUUACUGUGCAUCAAAGAACCCACACUGGAGAGAAACCAUAUCAGUGCUUGCAGUGUGGAAAGAGCUUCAGUGAGCAUUCUUCGCUCACUUCACAUCAAAGAAUCCACACUGGAGAGAAACCAUAUGAGUGCUUGGAGUGUGGAAAGAGCUUCUCCGUCAGUGGAAAACUUCGCAGACAUCAAAGAUUACACACUGGAGAGAAACCAUAUAAAUGCUUGGAAUGUGGAAAGAGCUUCUCUGUCAGUGGACUACUUACUUUGCAUCAAAGAAUCCACACUGGAGAGAAACCAUAUCAGUGCUUGGAGUGUGGAAAGAGCUUCUCUGUCAGUGGAUCGCUUACCAGGCAUCAAAGAACCCACACUGGAGAGAAGCCGUAUCAGUGCUUGGAGUGUGGAAAGAGCUUCUGCCAAAGUUCACAACUGACCACCCAUCAAAGAACCCACACUGGAGAGAAACCAUAUCCGUGCUUGGAGUGUGGAAAGAGUUUCAGCCACAGUUCACAACUGACUAUGCAUCAAAGAACCCACACUGGAGAGAAACCAUAUCAGUGCUGGGAAUGUGGAAAGAGUUUCAGCCACAGUUCACAACUGACUGUGCAUCAGAGAACCCACACUGGAGAGAAACCAUACCAGUGCUUGGAGUGUGGAAAGAGCUUCUCCGUCAGUGGAUCACUUACCAAGCAUCAAAGAACCCACACUGUCGAAAAACCAUAUCAGUGCUUGGAAUGUGGAAAGAGGUUUAGCAGGAGUGGAAAUCUUACUGUACAUCAGAGAACCCACACAGGAGAGAAAGCAUAUCAGUGCUUGCAGUGGGGAGGAGCCAAGAUGGCGAUGGCAGUGCAGACGAAGGAAUCAACAGUGACCUCACAUUGGCGUGAUCUUUUGAGGUCGAUUGAUCUUGAUCCCAAGGGGAUAAGGGAUACCUCAACUGUACAGCAACAAGCCUCUACCACAGUGGACAAUUAUCCUCAGGUUGGGGAUCCUUCGCUGACGUCUAGUGAGGAUCCAGUUGUUUCAACUAAUCCAUUUACCUUGGAUACAGGUAACGACUGUCUGCCGUCUCUGGACAAGACCACAUCAUCCCGUACAGAGAGUAAUGUCCCUAAUUCCGAUGUGGAACAUCCCGAAAGCACCACAAUUGACAUUCAGCACAUAGGGAGGUGACGCUUAAGAUAUUCUCCUACAACUUUAGAGGUUUGGGGGCACCAAUAAAACCAAGGAGAGUUCUUAAAGCUGUACUCAGAGAAAAUCCAGGGAUUACAGCUUUGUAGGAAACUUGUGGCUGGGGAAAUAAUAAAAAGGACGUAUUUUAUCAUCCCCAAGUGAGACCACAAUUUAAGGCCCCAGGGUCACCCAGGCCCAGUGGGGUAGCAAUUAUACUGGCUCAGUCUUUUGAUCUCCACCAGAUUAAAUAAAGUUGAGAGAGAUCCAAAGGGACAAUAUAUUUUUAUUAAGGGUAAGCAUAGUGAAAGCUGCCUUUCAGCCUUUAAAACCUUAUUGAAGACAUUUCUUUUCGGCCAGGCGUUUGCCCUUUAAAUCCUUAAAAAAAAAAAAAAAAUCUCAGAUGCUGUUCUUGUUUUGUGCACUGCCCUGAGUCUGUGGAUCGGGCAGCAUAGUAAAUCUUUUAAUAAACAAAUAAAGAUCUAGUCUACACAAUUGCACCACUUUAUUGCCCUAAUCAAAAUCGAUACAAGUUUUUACUUAAUACACUUUCCAGAUUGGAAAAAUUUAGUGAAGGUAAUGUAAUUGUAGGGGGUGGUUUUAGCUGCGUUGUUGACCAUAUACAAGAUAAAAGUUUAACAGGGAUUUUAAAAAGAUAAACAAAAGUUCAGUUCAGUGGGAAAGCUAUUUAGACAGUUUUUGCUUACAGGUGUUAAAUUUUAUUCUGAAUUGUAUAGUCCAGACACGUGGGGUCCUGUAAAAUCGAUCAAUAUUUAAAUAACAUAGGAAUUACUGCCUUACUUGAUUGUCUUAGAGACUCUCCAAUACACCAUUUAUGACAGAGGAAAUAAUUAAGGGGCUAAAAAACGUUAAAUCCCCAGGUCCCGACAGUUUUACAGCCCUGAUAUAUAAGAGGUUUGGGGAUAUUUUGAUUCCCAGACUUACGGUCCUUUUUAAUUCCAUAUUAGAAGGCCGCCCAAUUCCUGACUCAUGGAGAUUUUUCAGAUUAGUCAUGAUUCCAAAAGCUAAUAAAGAUAAAGAACCUUGCUUUCUCAAAAUCUUAAGAUAUUUACAGCCUGUUUGGUGAGAAGGGUACAUCCUUUUAUAGCGCACUAUAUAGACCCUGAUCAGACUGGUUUUGUUAAAGGGCGUCAGAUUGCAGAUCCAAUUUGCCAGAUAUUGAACUGUUUAAACUACAGUUUAAAAAAGGAAGACGUCACUGGCUAUCCUGUCUUUAGAUAGAUUUAAAGCCUUUGAUCGGCUGCAAUGGCCGUACUUAGUUAAAUUAUUAGAUUAUUUACAGAUGGGUACAGGGUUCACUAAUAUUAUUAAGCAACUUUAUUACAGAUCUUUUGCAACAGUUCGAGUUAAUUCUUGGGAUUCCAAGCCCUCUAAUAUGACGAGGUGCACAAAACAAGGACAUCCACUCCCCCUAUUACUAUUCAUAAUGUCUAUAGAACCUUUGGCCAUCAGAUGUGUCUCAGGUGGAGGCUGGGGCCAGGAGUGCUUGGUGUCAGCUCCAGCUGAUUCGACAGCUGAGCCCAUUCCUUGAAGAGGAUGACCACAAAACAGUGGUGCAUCCGCUGGUAACCUUCCGGCUUGACUACUGCAAUGUGCUCUACAUGGGGCUGCCUUUGUACGAAGUUCAGAAACUUCAGUUAGUUCAGAAUGCGGCUGCCAGAUUGGUCUCUGGGGCAACCCGGAGACACCAUAUGAUGCCUGUUUUGAAACCGUUACACUGGCUGCCGAUAUGUUUCCGGGCAAAAUACAAAGUGCUGGUUAUUACCUUCAAAGCCCUGAAUGGCUUGGGUCCGAGAUAUCUUAGAGAGCGCCUUCUUCUGCAUGAUCCCCACCACACGUUAAGGUCAUCCGAGGAGGUCCGUCUCCACUUUGUCUAGUGGCGACUCAGAGGCGGGUCUUCUCUGUGGCUUCUCCUGGGCUGUGGAAGGCACUCCCGGCAGGAAUCCGCAAUUGGAGUUCAUUACUGUCUUUCAGGAGAGUCCUUAAAACCUAUCUGUUGGGCCUGGCCUUCCAGGGUUUUUAAACUAUUGUAAACUGUUUUAAAUGGUUGCCCUGGUUUUCCAGGGUUUUUAGCUGUUUGACUGUUUAAUUGGUUUUAUUCUGUUUUUAUAGUUUUGAUUUUAAUUGUUAACUGGUUUUACUUGUUUUUAUUCUGUUGUAAACUGCCCUGAGCCAUUUUGGAAGGGCGGUAUAUAAAUCAAAUCAAUUAAUCAAUCAAUCAAUCAAUCAAUAAUUAAUUAAUAUAUGCGGACACUGCAUUAAUUUUGACGGACCCCAUAAAGUCUAUUUCAGCUAUACAGGAAGAACUGGAAAAAUGUGAACAAGUUGCAGGUCUGAAAACAAACUUAACUAAAUCAGAAUUUCCUUUCCCCCGGAAUCUGUCUUAAAUUUCAAAACAACUUAGUAAAUUCUUUAGGGGUUCCCAAAAUCUCAAAAGCUAUUCAAUAUUUGGGUGUUUAUAUAUCUAAAAACCUAUCACAGCUUAAAAGAGUGAAUUACUCUCCAAUUAUUGGCCUUAUAAAAAGGAAAAUCAAAAAUUGGGAAAGUUCCAAUCUGUCCUUGAUGGGUCGGAUAGCCGCUACAAAGAGGCAUUUACUUCCAAGAUUACUGUUUCUCAGGCAGGUUUUGCCAAUUAAAUUGUCUAAGUCUACACUGGGUAGAUGGCAAAAGGUUUUAAAUGUUUGUAUUCAUUCUGGGGCGAAAUCGAGGUUCCGUAAUAACGUUCUCUGGGCAGCUCACAACAACCUUAGCCCAUAAAAACACAGAAAACACAGUGUAUUGGUUAGAGUGGUUGACUAGAACUGGCGAGACCUGAGUUCAAGUCCCCGUUCAGCCAUGAAAUUCACUGGGUGACUCUGGGCCAGUCGUAUCUCUCAGCCCAACCUACCUCACAGGGUUGUUGUGAGGAUAAACAUAACCAUGUACACUGCUCUGUGUUCCUUGGAGGAAAAGUGGGAUAGGAAUGCUUGGUGGCCAUAAGCCAGGCCUGUCGGGAAGCGAUCCGGAGGGGGGUGUUGGAAAUGGAGUUCCAGUGCAUCGACCUUUUGCACCGACUAUCAUAAUGACCACUAGGGGCACUGGGAGUAGUGAUAGUGAGUGGGGGUCUCCUUACCUCUCUCUACUUUACCUCUGCUCUGUGACCUCUGAUAUGACUCCUCAGGCAUUUCUUGUGAGAGUCAGAAUCCCUUUCCUUUCCUCUUAGAGAGCAGAUGGGAACAUCUCCCUCUCUCUCUACCUAUUCAUUGUGUAGCCUAUAGAUUAGGGUUAGGUCUUUCCUAUCCAAGGUGUACUUCACCAAUAAAUCUACUUAGUGUUUCGUUCCACAAGAAUCUCCCUGCGUCUUCUCUAAACAGCUGCAACAACUAAACUCUGCAUUCUGCUCUGCAACUGGAGUGGGUCGCUUCUUUAGCGCUCCGCUAAUUAAUCACAAAACCCAUCCUGGGCAAAUGACAACCUCCAACAGGGGGAACAACGCCUUCUGUUCUCCAAGGAACGGGCAGCCCAGGCUGUGCUGGACGAGAUGGACCAUAUUUCGGAGGACCCCGUGCCCCACCACCUCUUCUCUCUGCGCACAGAGGCCAUCGCCUUCUUGAGCUUCUCCCACAGCAAUGGCAGUUCUGCCCACGGAGGGAAACCAGCCCAAAUCCAC